GACGAACGCUGGCGGCGUGCUUAACACAUGCAAGUCGAGCGGUAAGGUCCUUUCGGGGGUACGACGAGCGGCGAACGGGUAGAGUAACACGUGGGUGACCUGCCUUUAGUCUCUGGGAGUAAAGCCUGGGAAACGUAGGGUCGUAAUACCGGAUAUGACUCCGCGGUGCAUGCUGUGGGGUGGAAAGCCUUGUGCGGCUGGAGAUGGGCCCGCGGCCUAUCAGCUUGUUGGUGGGGUGAUGGCCUACCAAGGCGACGACGGGUAG
rnacentral:rRNA from 1 species